rnacentral:rRNA from 1 species
UACGGGGGGGGCAAGCGUUGUUCGGAAUUACUGGGCGUAAAGGGCUCGUAGGCGGCCAACUAAGUCGGCCGUGAAAUCCCUCGGCUUAACCGGGGAACUGCGUCCGAUACUGGAUGGCUGGAGGUUGGGAGAGGGAUGCGGAAUUCCAGGUGUAGCGGUGAAAUGCGUAGAUAUCAGGAGGAACACCGAUGGCGAAGGCAGGUCUCUGGGCUGACACUGACGCUCAUGCACGAAAGCGUGGGGAGCAAACAGG